rnacentral:misc_RNA from 1 species
GAUGAAGAACGUAGCAAAAUGCGAUAAGUAAUGUGAAUUGCAGAAUUCAGUGAAUCAUCGAAUCUUUGAACGCACAUUGCGCCCGCCAGUAUUCUGGCGGGCAUGCCUGUUCGAGCGUCAUUUCAACCCUCAAGCACAGCCUGGUGUUGGGACUCGCGUUAAUUCGCGUUCCCCAAAUUGAUUGGCGGUCACGUCGAGCUUCCAUAGCGUAGUAGUAAAACCCUCGUUACUGGUAAUCGUCGCGGCCACGCCGUUAAACCCCAACUUCUGAAUGUUGACCUCGGAUCAGGUAGGAAUACCCGCUGAACUUAAGCAUAUCAAUAAGCGGAGGA